AUUCUUACGGGAGGCAGCAGUGGGGAAUUUUGGACAAUGGGGGAAACCCUAAUCCAGCAAUGCCGCGUGAGUGAAGAAGCCCUUCGGGUUGUAAAGUUCUUUUGUCAGGGAAGAAACACCGGCUCUAACACAGUCCGGGAAUGACGGUACCUGAAGAAUAAGCACCGGCUAAUACGUGCCAGCAGCCGCGGUAAUAC
rnacentral:rRNA from 1 species